rnacentral:tRNA from 1 species
GUAAACGUAGCUCAGUUGGUAGAGCAGGACUCAAAAAAAGCUCUGUGUUAAUUUUUUUCACUCUUUAUGGGUUGCAAAUGAUACAGUUACUUCUAAAUAUCAAAAGUCCGGGUCAGUGGUUCGAGUCCACUCGUUUGCUCCA